rnacentral:rRNA from 1 species
GACGAACGCUGGCGGCGUGCUUAACACAUGCAAGUCGAACGGAAAGGCCCUGCUUUUGUGGGGUGCUCGAGUGGCGAACGGGUGAGUAACACGUGAGUAACCUGCCCUUGACUUUGGGAUAACUUCAGGAAACUGGGGCUAAUACCGGAUAGGAGCUCCUGCUGCAUGGUGGGGGUUGGAAAGUUUCGGCGGUUGGGGAUGGACUCGCGGCUUAUCAGCUUGUUGGUGGGGUAGUGGCUACCAAGGCUUUGACGGGUAGCCGGCCUGAGAGGGUGACCGGCCACAUUGGGACUGAGAUACGGCCCAGACUCCUACGGGAGGCAGCAGUGGGGAAUAUUGCACAAUGGGCGGAAGCCUGAUGCAGCAACGCCGCGUGCGGGAUGACGGCCUUCGGGUUGUAAACCGCUUUCGCCUGUGACGAAGCGUGAGUGACGGUAAUGGGUAAAGAAACACCGGCUAACUACGU